GAAUCCAAUCUCAUGUUGAUUCACAAGCUACUGCCUACUCCCAUUGGGAUGAACCUUACUUUGGUAAAGCAACCAUUACUUCAUCAAGAUCUAAUAGAGAUCCUAGGAAAAAUCAAGGAGAAUGGACAGAGAACUCUGUCCUGAAGACUCCACGACGACACCAUGGAACCCUGCUGAUGAAGAUCUUUCGAGGGCAAUCGUCAGUCACGGGGUGGUGUAAGAGCCCGUCUGAAGCCCCUCAUUUUCCAUUCUGCCUUCCGAUUGCCACGAGAAAGAAUCCCUUCCUCCACUGCAGUUCCGGCUUAGAACAGGACACAGUGCAGGUGCAACCACUGAACCGUCAUGCUAGCUGUUCCGAACAAGGCCUGGCAAGAACUUGGCAAGGACUUGGCAAAGACCUGACGUGGACCCAGCACGGGACAGCCUGAUGCGCGGCCUGCUUCUAAUCUCCGUUCUUAAGCCAAAUGAACUUUUGGGGUGACUCCCGGGGUCCUUCAUUGAAGACCCCUCAUCUGCCUCGUUACCAGUGUGACAAACAAAGAAUGAGAACCCUCCUCCCAAGGACUGAGACUGAGACCCCUGCUAUAGGGAGGAGGGGAAAUUGGUGGUCUGACCACUAAUGACAUGACCUGUUUCCCUUCAGUGAUUCAAAUGGACUUAUUCUUCAUUGGAUUCGUCUUGCUUUGGUGGUUUCUGUGGACUCAGCUGUUCCCGCGUGGCGAUUACAAUGGACUCUCGUUGUUCCACUUGCUCCCCCCUCUUUCCUCUGUGGACUAUAACUGGAGCCCCGAGUCGACCAGAACUUCGGAGACUCCCCCGACACGACAGACGGAUCCCCAUCGUCCGGACCACUGAGGAUCUCGCCUGUGUUGGUAGCUAUUCCCAUACCCCUCUUCUCUCUCUCUCUCUCCUUUUAUCUCCUUUCCGAUCCCCACUAUCGCAUUUACUGUUUUGGCCCCUAAUAAAGGUGCAUUUGUUGUGAUUAA